rnacentral:rRNA from 1 species
UUAACGCAUUAAGCACUCCGCCUGGGGAGUACGGCCGCAAGGCUGAAACUCAAAGGAAUUUGACGGGGGCCCGCACAAGCGGUGGAGCAUGUGGUUUAAUUCGAAGCAACGCGAAGAACCUUACCAGGUCUUGACAUCCUCUGAAAACCCUAGAGAUAGGGCUUCUCCUUCGGGAGCAGAGUGACAGGUGGUGCAUGGUUGUCGUCAGCUCGUGUCGUGAGAUGUUGGGUUAAGUCCCGCAACGAGCGCAACCCUUGAUCUUAGUUGCCAUCAUUAAGUUGGGCACUCUAAGGUGACUGCCGGUGACAAACCGGAGGAAGGUGGGGAUGACGUCAAAUCAUCAUGCCCCUUAUGACCUGGGCUACACACGUGCUACAAUGGA